UAAAUAGAGAGAGGGAGAGGGAGAGAGAGAGAGAAACCCUAAUCGGAAAAGAAAGUCCAUUUUUCUUUUGUGAGUUUGAUUCGAUACUUGGAUUUUUCUAUUUACUUAUUACUUUGAAUUUUAGAGCAGCAGGAGCUAUUUAUUUAGUAAAUAGUUGAUUUGAUAAGUUGUUUGUAAAUUGCCUGCUCUCUAGUUUCUAUUUAUUUGUUAUUGGGUGUUGGUGUUAAAGAAUCAAGAGUUAAUGGCCGCCGUAGAUUUGAAGAAAUCAGCAAAAACCCUAACAGCCGGUGAUGAAAGUAAGAUUACAAGUCGGACAUCGGAAAAUAUGAUCAAGCCUUGUCACUCCCACUUCUACAAAUCCUAAUCCCAGUUCCAAUCCCAAUAUCCCAAUCCCAAUCCAGGAGGCUGAUUGCCAACCCCAGCUUCCGCUCAGGUAAGUAAACCAUCCCUUAUUUCUCCACACCUUAUACUACUUUCUCAUUACCUUUCCUUUAUAAAAACAAUUCUGUUUAAAAUUAGUCUAUAUGUUUUUGUAAAUGUGUAGAUAUAGGAUUAUAGCGGAAUUGUUUGCUCAUGUGAACUGUUCCUUGAGAUUGCUUCUUCUGCGUAAAAGGUCGCCUACUGUUCAAAAUGUUUUUGCUCAGGUGAAAGUCAUGGCACAAAGAUAAUGCCUAACCCUUCACAAUAUUCCUGUUUGAUAGUGCAUUUCUUUCAUAUGCUGGUUGGCGCCUAGCAGUGGUGGGUGUUGCUUUUCCACUUAUAACCAAGUGUUCUUCUUUUCCUUUCCUUUCCUUUUUUCAGAAAGUUCUUGCACAUGCAUCCUACUUAACUGAAAUUUGUACUUCCGGAAACCAUAAAGAUAGAUAGUAUUUUGGUGCAGGACUAGAAAACUCUAUGCACCAAUCCAGAUAUGAAUAUCACCUUGCUAGUUGAUGUUGUAGAAACUCACUCUCAAGUAUCUGACUUUAUGGCUCUGCGCCAAGUUUUUAAUUUUAGGCUUAUUCAUUUCUUUGCCCUGCAUCCUGAGGUACGCCUACUAUUUCUCAGAAUAUUUUCCCCACUUUUCCUUCUUCAAUAUGAAAGACUGCUGCAAGCUCCUUGAUUGGUUCUAAUAGGUAUGUUUUAGCAAAUGAAACUUGACUAUAUAAAACAGAAGAUGUGGAUCUCAACUGUAUAGGACAUGAAUAAUGCCUAAAAAUGUUAAUUUAGCUUCAUUUGAGUGACAUAUGAUAGUCUCGUGGUAUAUGAAAUGUUAGCGAUCAGAUUGAGCUGGCUUCAACUUAGUGAUUCUGCUUUGUAGGAUCGGGAUUAGUUAUUUGGUGACACCUAAAAGAUGAAACAGUUGCAUGCCAGAAAGUUUGAUUGAGUAAUUUUCAGAUGACUGCCCAUUUUGUAUAAAUGUACAAAGAAAAGAUUAAGUUUAUUUCAACAAAUUGAUUAUGUUUCCUCCUCUUGGGCAUACCUCUUUGCAUCCUGUAUUUGAUUAAUCGGAUAGGUAAUAUUCUAUGUAAUAUUUGGGUGUUAAAAGAUAAAAGAAAUGAACUCAUGCAUUUUUAUUUUUGAGAUCAAGGCUUGUGAUGUUCUAGAUGCCAUUUUGGUAGAGCCUUUUAGCCAAAGACAGCGUGUUGUUGUUGCUCAAACAGAAAAGACCCAACUCUUAGCAUCUCCAUCCCCCACACCAUCUGAUGGUGUUAGGAACAACAAAAAUGGGCAAUAAAGUAUUUACUAUUCAAUCUUCCAAUUUUAAGAGUAAAUCGGAGCUAGAUAUCUAAAAAUGGGAAGUAGAAGGAAUCAUGUUUUGAGUUUUGUAUUAUCAACCACACAGUACAGCUGAACCACCCACAAUGCUCUAUUGCUUCAAGUGUAUCUGAAAGCCCUCAUGUAAAGCUCACCUCAUCUGCUGACAGUUUCAGGUACAACUACCUGCACUAUUGACACCAAGGAGACCAAUGCCCAGUUGUGACGCCGAGCAUGAGACAAUAAACAGCCAAUCAACAUCAUGUUAUACGCCUGCAAAAAGAAUUCUAAACUUCUCGCACUCGGAAGGUGAUAAGAUUGCAUUGGAUUGUAUGACAGAUUAGUCAGACUACUACAAAGUUGUAAACCAAAACAUCCCUAAGACUACAGAAACACUUUUGAGGAUGAAAAUGUUACUUUUUCUCUGGAACCACAAAAGGAGAAGUCAAAGAACAUAUUGAUCUUCUUAAAAGAAUCAAGAAGGUGGCUGAUUCAAAGUCAGUUGUGUCAAAGUUUGAGGAGAAGAGGAUACAAGUGUACAAGUGACUGUGACAAGAUUCGUACAACCGGAAUUAGAUCCUCUUCGGAUCUCCUCACCGAGGAUCCGGAUAAUCAAUUAAUACCAACCGUUCAUCAAAGAUCGUGCAGUCAUAAUUGAAUGUUUUUUAUAUUUUAAAAAAAGUAAAGUAAUCUCAUUUUGCGUGAAAAUUUUAAUUUUCUUUUUUUAUGGCCGUGCGGUAUUUUAAUGAACGGUUGUUAUUAAUUGAUCUUCGGGAUCCCAAUGAGAGAAUCCAAAGAUGAUCUAAUUCCUUUAGAUAUAUAAAAGAAUAAAAUUGUGAUCGUACGUUUUUUGAUGAACCGUUGUUAUUAAUUGAUUCCGGGGAUCCUCAAUGAGGAAAUUUGGAGAGGAUGUAAUUCCCGAUCAACCAAUUGAAUUGAUACAGCGGCCCUGCAA